CAAACGGAAGUUGAGUGAGAGGGGGCCACUUGCUGGUAAGCGACUUCCACAAAGAUCAGUGAAUGCCCUACAGAAAUUGGAAGAUGGAAAUCAAAAAACAAAAGAUAAUAAGCAGCCGGAAACCUUUCAAAAGGAGCUGGUUAUGACAUCUGAUCAAGCUUCCACACAGAACCAACGCCUUCCAAAGGGAUAUGCAUAUGUACCCUAUGAUUCUCUUUCUAAAGAGAAACCAUGGAAACGAAAUACACAGACCCAUGAACCACAAGAGCCUGGUGGAUAGGAAUAGCUGAAAUCCACAAAAAAACGCAUGCCUAGUGUUGUCAACUAAAAAGCACAAGCAUCAAACGGUGCUGGCCUGUGCUUUUGCUGCAAGGAUUACCAAACUAAUUGGAAUCAAGUUGUAGAAUGAUGCAAACCAAACUAGUUGUGAAUGAGUGUUUGGUAUGAGCUGGGUGACUUGGAUGAAUGGAAACAUAGGUGCAAUUCACCUAACAGGGCUA